UAGGGAAUAUUGGACAAUGGGCGCAAGCCUGAUCCAGCCAUGCCGCGUGAGUGAAGAAGGCCCUCGGGUUGUAAAGCUCUUUUGUCCGGAAAGAAAAGCUUUGGGUUAAUACCCCGAAGUCCUGACGGUACCGGAAGAAUAAGCACCGGCUAACUUCGUGCCAGCAGCCGCAGUAAUACGAAGGGUGCAAGCGUUACUCGGAAUUACUGGGCGUAAAGCGUGCGUAGGUGGUUCGUUAAGUCUGAUGUGAAAGCCCUGGGCUCAACCUGGGAAUGGCAUUGGAUACUGGCGGGCUAGAGUGCGGUAGAGGGCAGUGGAAUUCCCGGUGUAGCAGUGAAAUGCGUAGAGAUCGGGAGGAACAUCUGUGGCGAAGGCGACUGCCUGGACCAGCACUGACACUGAGGCACGAAAGCGUGGGGAGCAAACAGG
rnacentral:rRNA from 1 species